AUUCACGACCAGACAGUGUAUCAAGAAAAUCCAACUUGACAAAACUUUACAAAUUCCUUUGGCCAUCACGGCCAUCAGUUCUAUCAAAUUUGAGCGUUUUCAAAGUGUCAUAAAGUAUCGUGGGAAAUUUUCGCAGUAUUUCAGAUGAAAAUGGUGUACAUUUUCUCGACAUAUUAAUUGAAUUUCGCAUAAUUGUAGUGUUUUUUAGCUCCGAAAGAACUGAUUGAGUGAAAAAGUGAAGUUGUCUUGUGUCUAGUGUUAUUAUAAUGAAUAUGGAUAAACAACGAAAGCUGUCGACGUCGGGUGAUACCCUCUACCAAACACUAGGAAUACCGAAAACAUCCACUGCCGAAGAAAUAAAGAAAACAUACAGAAAAUUGGCCUUAAAGUAUCAUCCAGACAAAAAUCCUGAUAAUCCAGAUGCAGCGGAAAAGUUCAAGGAAGUGAAUCGAGCUCAUUCCAUUUUAAGCGACCAAACAAAACGGAAUAUCUACGAUAGCUACGGUUCAUUAGGACUAUACAUUGCCGAACAGUUCGGCGAGGAAAAUGUGAAUGCCUAUUUCGUUGUAACAUCGCCCGCUUGCAAGGCUUGUUUCAUAAUCUGUGGUAUCAUAAGCGGAUGUUAUUGCUGUUGUUGCUGCUGCUGUUGCUGCAACUUCUGUUGUGGUAAAUACAAACCGAAUCCACAUGACCACGAUGCAAGAGAUUAUCAACAUUUACAUCGCGAUGCCGAGAAUCCAGGAGCGACUUCAUCUUCUCAAAGUAAAGGAGAGGACUUCAAUGACUUGGAGGAAGUACAAAUUGGUGGUGCACCGGUAACUUCACAACCAACGGCUGGUAAAGGUGCUGGAGCGAUGCCAGUUUAUGCAAUGCCGCCACCACCAUCGAAUCCAAAUAAUCCAUUUGCGAAUAUGGCAGCAACGGAAGCGACGUCACUAAGCUCAUCCGGUCAGGCUACUUAUACACCAGAUCUUUUCACGAAAAAUAAUUAGUUAAUGUGGAUGAUUAACAAGCCAAAAUUAAUUCCAUUCUCUCUAUUUUUCUACACAAAUGCGUUCCAUAAAAGGACUUUAAUCUCACAAUAAUUGCAUGACGUCUUCAGCCCGACAAGGAUGAAUAAUAAACUAAACUAUCCGUCAGCGUUAAAAUUCAACAUUUAAAUUUAAUGGGAAAUUUAAAUUUACCAAUGAAUUACGAUUUAAAAAUCUAAGCAACUAAAAUAAAUAACUGGAUAUGUAUUUUGUGACCAUUGGUGGACCAUUGGGCACAGACAUCACAGCUGUACAUUAUCUAUGAUUGAAUAUUAUUAUUAUACCAAUAAUAUAAACAGUAAGUCAAAUUGAGUCAAAUAUAAAAUGAGGUGUGUUACUAACUUCAGUCUUUAUUAAGUACACUCAGUAAUUUUAUAUAAUUACGGAAUUGCUGCAGAAAAUUCAAAA